AGGAGAAAUGAAGUCUUCCUAACUCUGGCCUCCUGCUGCUACACAAGCCAGGCCAAUGAUGUGGCAAGUCCAAGGGGCACAUGGCUUUUCAGUGUCAUUGUUUGAGGAGGCCAUGAGUGGUUUAGCUGGUGGCCUCUGCUUCUUUUUCUUUUGAGUGCUUCUGAAUACAUGACUGUGCUCUGAAUACAGAGCUACCACUGCGGGGUAAACCAAGCCACAGCUGUCCUCUUCCAAGGUUAGGGUCGCUGCUCAGCAGGAGCUGAUGUGCUACAAGGAAUGAUGAUCUUCUACUGGGAAAGUCUCCAGGGGAGCGAGCUUUCAAGAUCUGCUGCGGAGUGUGUCCUGCCAGUGCGUGGAAGGCCGUUUGUUUACAAAACUUGGUGAAUACCCAGAUGGCGCUUCCCUGUGCCCUGCAGCUGCUCAACAAGCAAGGAGACUUGCAGGCACCCACAGAACUCAUUCUGUGAAGCCCUUUCUUCUCAGAAGAGUCUUCACUGCUAUUGUGACGUCCUGCUUGCCCCUCCUGUUUUAUUCCAGAGGCACAACGUUAACACAAAAUGUUGGAGAUCAUGACAGCGUUGGGCUCCAAAAACAGGAUUGUUUGUUGUUUUGAAGCCAGUCCCCAAAAUGACUUGAACUUCUAAAGAAGAAGCUGGCAUCCUUUCUAUCAUUUACACAAUCUGAGGUUCAGUGUGUGAGGAUAGGAGGACAACAGAACCAGGCCUCCUGACUGCCCCUCCCUGCGCUCC
rnacentral:lncRNA from 1 species